rnacentral:rRNA from 1 species
CCUGUUGAUCCUGCAGGAGAUUGCUGCUAUCAGGGUUCGACUAAGCCAUGCAAGUCCAGGGGUUCUUCGGAACACCGGCGAAACGCUCAGUAACACGUUGAUAAUCUGCCCUUAGGUCUGGGAUAACCUUGGAAAACUGAGGUUAAUACUGGAUAGGAAUUUCGUUCUGGAAAGAAUUUUUUUCUAAAGGCAACGCCUAAGGAUGAGUCAGCGGCUGAUUAGGCUGUUGGUGGGGUAACGGCCCACCAAACCAACGAUCGGUAGGGGCCUUGAAAGAGGGAGCCCCGAGAAGGGAACUGAGAUACUGUCCCUAGCCCUACGGGGUGCAGCAGGCGCGAAACCUCUACAAUGCACGAAAGUGUGAUAGGGGGACCCUGAGUGCUCAGUUAUACUGGGCUUUUAUUAAGAGUAAAAAUCUUGGUGAAUAAGUGGUGGGUAAGACAGGUGCCAGCCGCCGCGGUAACACCUGCGCCACAAGUGGCAAUCGUUAUUAUUGGGCCUAAAGCGUCCGUAGCAGGUUAUGUAAAUCUCUUGUGAAAUUGUUGCGCUCAACGUAACAGCGUGCAAGAGACACUGCAAGACUUGGGACCGGGAGGAGUGAGAGGUAUUUCUUGGGGAGCGGUAAAAUGCUAUAAUCCAAGAAGGACCACCUAUGGCGAAGGCAUCUCACCAGAACGGAUCCGACUGUGAGGGACGAAAGCUAGGGGAGCGAACCGGAUUAGAUACCCGAGUAGUCCUAGCUGUAAACUCUGCGAGCCAGGUGUUGCAUAAUCUUCGGGAUUGUGCAGUAUCGAAGCGAAGGCGUUAAGCUCGCCGCCUGGGAAGUACGGUCGCAAGGCUGAAACUUAAAGGAAUUGGCGGGGGAGCACUACAAGGGGUGCGGCGUGCGGUUUAAUUUAACUCUACACAGAGAAUCUCACCAGAAGCGACGGCACUAUGAAAGUCAGAUUAAAGGUUUUACUUGAGGAGCCGAGAGGUGGUGCAUGGCCGCCGUCAGCUCGUGCCGUGAGGUGUCCAGUUAAGUCUGGUAACGAGCGAGACCUGCGUCCACAAUUGCUAACAGGGGCUUUUGCCUGACUGAGCACAUUGUGGGGACUGCCCUGCAAACAGGGAGGAAGGUGCAGGCUACGGUAGGUCUGUAUGCCCCGAAUCUUCUGGGCUACACGCGCGCAACAAUGGUAAGGACAAUGGGAUACAACUCCGAAAGGAGAAGUUAAACCUCGAAACCUUACCCAAGUCCAGAUUGAGGGUUGUAACCCACCCUCAUGACGAUGGAAUCCCUAGUAAUCGGAAGUUAUCAGCUUCCGGUGAAUACGUCCCUGCUCCUUGCACACACCGCCCGUCAAACCACUCGAGCAGGGUUUAGAUGAGGCCUGGUUUUUUUGAUCAUGUCGAAUCUAAGCUCAGUGAGAAGGGUUAAGUCGUCACAAGGUA